rnacentral:tRNA from 1 species
GCGAUGUAGCUCAGUCGGCAAAGCGGAGGACUUUUCGUGGGUUUAAGUCCCACCUUCGCCA